AUGUUCAUCCUGAUGUUCUUGUGUAUGUGGAUUUCACUAGGAGACUCUACAACAGAUCAAAUCAAGCCACUUGAUACACAUAAAAGUGUAACUGAAGGUGAUACUGUUACUCUAUCCUGCAGCUACAAAGACUUUAUUGGUGUUGUUGUAAAUCUACAGUGGUACCGGCAAUAUCCAAAAUCUGAACCAGAGUUCCUUCUUUCCUGCCUAACAAAUGGAGAUCUGAAUGAAGACAUGGAUUUACGUCUGUCUGCUAAAGUUCAACCAAGUUUAAAACAAGUGGAUCUGAACAUCUCAUCUGCUGCAGUAUCAGACUCUGUAAUAUAUUACUGUGCACUGACGCCCACAGUGACAGGAAACACAGCUGCACUGUACAAAAACUCUAACACAGAUGUGUUCUUCAAAAAUCUGGUUUAG